rnacentral:rRNA from 1 species
GACGAACGCUGGCGGCGUGCUUAACACAUGCAAGUCGAACGGAAAGGCCCCUUUGGGGGUACUCGAGUGGCGAACGGGUGAGUAACACGUGAGUAACCUGCCCUUGACUUCGGGAUAACUUUAGGAAACUGGGGCUAAUACCGGAUAGGAAUCCUUGCUGCAUGGUGGGGGUUGGAAAGCUUCGGCGGUUUUGGAUGGACUGGCGGCUUAUCAGCUUGUUGGUGGGGUAGUGGCUUACCAAGGCUUGGACGGGUAGCCGGCCUGAGAGGGCGACCGGCCACAUUGGGACUGAGAUACGGCCCAGACGCCGACGGGAGGCAGCAGUGGGGAAGAUUGCACCAGGGGCGGAAGCCUGAUGCAGCAACGCCGCGGGCGGGAUGACGGCCUUCGGGUUGUAAACCGCUUUCAGCAGGGGCGAAGCUUGUGGUGACGUUACCUGCAGAAGAAGCACCGGCUAACUACGUG